GAUGAACGCUGACAGAAUGCUUAACACAUGCAAGUCGAUGGGGAAGUGGUGCUUGCACCCUGGCAACCAUGGCGGACGGGUGAGUAACGCGUAAGGGACUUACCUGCAGGACUGGGAUAACAGGGGGAAACUCCUGACAAGACCGGAUAAUGUCAUGGAGCUGCAUGGCUUUAUGAUGAAAGGAGACGCCUGCGGAGAGCCUUGCGUCCUAUUAGCUAGUUGGUGAGGUAAUGGCUCACCAAGGCGAAGAUAGGUAGCCGGCCUGAGAGGGUGGACGGCCAAAAGGGGACUGGGAUACCGCCCUUACUCCUAGGGGGGGCAGCGGGGGGGAAUAUUGGACAAUGGGGGCAACCCUGAGCCAGCAAUGCGGGGGGGAAGAAGAAGGUUUUCGGAUUGAAAAGUGCUUUCAGCAGGGAAGAAGAAAGUGACGGUACCUGAAGAAGAAGCGACGGCUAAAAACGG
rnacentral:rRNA from 1 species